ensembl:lncRNA
CAGACCAUAUAGAGACCAUAGAGAUCCUCACUUUUCUAGGUAAACCUCUGUUCUCUACCCGUUGUUCCAAAUGUUUUCCUCUAUAAUUCACUGGUUCGUUUGUUUAUGCUGUUAGGACACAUAUACCAGACAUGAUACUACAGAGACCGUACACGCACUGUAUGCAUUUUUUAUAAAAACAGCGCUGAAUAAUUUGUCGAUAGCAGAGAGAGCAACAACAACAAGAGUUAGAAAAGAAAUCAAAGAAAUGACGAAUGACACAAUGAAUUCAUUUUGCCUGCUUAAUAUUAAGCAUCAGCAUUCCAGCAAAGACAGAAUUCAGUGGUUUCACACUACAAGAAAACAUGAACCAUUCUGAUAAAAUGAACAUUAAAACAAAGAAACUGUUAAGCUGUAAUUUUGACACUUAUCAUCAAUCAUAAGCUGAUAUUUCUUAACUGCUAACACUGUUGAUAUUUUGAUAACAUUUAGUAAUUAACAUUGUGUUUACUUGUUUUUCCUCAAAAUAAAAAAAAGGAUUUGCAAUAAAAGGCUUUUGAUGCUUGGAAGAAAAUCAGGUCAGAAGAGUGGCUGGCUGUGGAUACAUAAAUAAUUAUAUUAAAAACAUACACAACAUAUAAAAAAUUAGACUUCUUUCAGACUAUACAUAAAACAACAAUAAAAGAAACAUAUCUAUUGCACAAUGGAGGUAUCUAAUGACAAAUACAGUAUGAACAAUGGUACCAGUCUGUUAACAGCAGUACACAGCAGACGGGGUGAUUGCAGACACAUAUCAUAGGCGGUCUUUUACAGAAGGACCGAGUAUUGAGUGCUGCUAGUUCUUGGUGCUAAUGAUAAUAUGCAUGUUGUUCCAUCUCACCACAUACUCUAAUUUCAAUUGUUUUCAGCACUGGUGCAGAACGUCAGAAUCAAACCCAUAGAACUGCUGUCCAACCCUACUUCUCAAGGAGUGCGUUGGCAUAAUCACAGGUCCCUCUGUUUCCUACAUGCUGCUAGUUAUACUGUGUGAAAAUAUCACAUCCUAGCUUGUUGAAGUAUAUACACCGCCACAGAAUGUCAGCUGUGCUAUAAAGAUAACGCACCUCUCUGCCCUAUAAUAUACAGAACGAGUCCACGUUUUGCUUUCAAAAUUCAGCUGAGCCAUCCACAUACACACUCAGUCAAAGGACACUCUCUUUAGUUCUGGGAAAAAUAAACUUCUAUAGCACUUAAGCCAGUGUGGGUUCCACAUAGUUACAAGAAGAAUAGCAAAAGCUUCAGUCCUCUAGCUGUAUCUAUACAGACUUCUUUCAGGCUCAGUACCACAUGCAAAUCUCCCACAUUGUGACCUCAGUGGUAUCACAGCCUAUGUAGAAGUCAAACCAACCAUGUCUUUGAACUGUGGCAGGAAGCCGAAAAGUCAAACUCCACCUGUGAGGGGCCAGCUCGAAGGAGACUUGAAACAUGAACAUUCUUGCUAUGAUAUCACCUUAACGAAGCAGUUAGACUAUUAUGUCACAAUCAGCAGUGACAAGUUUAGAGAUGCCCCAAGCAAGAAGCUUAGAUCACAUUGCUUCUCAAGCUAGUAUAGAUGAGUUGUUAGGUGACUGCUAUUGGAAUACAUGUUUGAUCUGAUGUCAAUGUGCUGUAAGAAUGAAAGAAAUCUGGUUAACAAACAAAAGUAACACCACUAGCCACUGUGAAAAACAGGGGCAAACAAUUCUGCAGUAAGGUAUUGAACAUACUGCACCUUUUAGAUAAUACACAUAGCUUUUUAUUCAACUUCUAGUAUACCACACUAUAAGCUUUUUACUCGAUAGCAAUUAAGUUAACUGUAACGUUUUAUAAUGCAGUGAGAACAAGUGUGUAGCUGACGACCGGCUGGCGCGUAGAAGCUCAUGAACAGUUUUAUUUAAACUGAGAAAACGGACGGACACGAGGGGGCUUCUGUUCAUGGCAGAGACUUAAAAGCCAACGUGUGUUUUAUGACUGAGAAGUAGAUGAAAGCAGGUUUAUCACAUACUAAGGACACCGCUCAGUAACAGCUAUAGUAAAAGAAACACUCUUGAUGUGUGAACAUAACAAAGAAAAGCUGAGAGAGGCAGUUUACACUUCUUACCCGCAGAAUCAGGGGUGCAUUAUCAACCUUAACUUCACUUUUCACUCCUAUUUUGGUGAAUUCACAUUACAAGGAUUUAUAUAAUGCUGACCCUCUGGAAAGCAGUUUCAAUAUGUCUGACAUCUGGGAAGAAAAAGACAAACAAAUAUGCAAUGUUGCAUCAUGAAAGUAACCACAUUAGUACCAGCAUUUUCUUUUUCAACGUGAUGAGUGGAAAAGCAAGUGUAACACUUAUUGGAGGUCAUUCUGUCAUAUCACUCAGUUCAGAGCCUUUACACGCCUCCAGCUCGUAUUUGGGACCAUCCCAUCACAGUUUUGGACUGAAAUCUGACGCAACCUGAACAUUUCAGUACAUUUUUUUUAUGUAUUAAACUUCAAGUUAAGCAGAAUGUACGCCAGUGUUUUCUGUUAUUAGAAGGAGUUUAUAUUUUCAUUAAAUUGCAACAAAUCUGAAGUGAUUUCAGAAUGACUGAAACAUUUUUAGGUUCCAUCAGAUUGCAUCCAGUGCAAUGUUACAGUAUAAAGAUCACAUCAGUAAGCUUUGCUUUGCACUAACAGCUCAGAAGCUCAAAAGAACAAAAUCCAAAUAAAAAACAAAACAAAACUCUAGAAACAACGUAUUUCUGUCUCCCUUAAGCAUUGGUUCAUAGUUCAAGUAAAGAGACAACUCCUAAAAUAAACAAAGUGAGUUGUUAUGGAGCAUCAAACUAUGUCACAUAAGAAUUAGCACUCUUCAACAUCCAGUUUCCUGCCAGUCAGAAAUCUAUCUGCAACUUGUGUUUGCCGUUCUGUAGUCACCAACUAAAAACAGUGCUAAAACCAUCAGUUUCUACAAAAGAAUCAAUAAAAAACAGACUAGUUGAAAUAUGAAAAAUGAAUUCCCUCAUCUUUUAUUUCAUUUGCUGGAUGUGGUAUGAUAUCACAUCAUUGUGAUCAGAGUACAGUUGUCAAGAAGAGGCAUAGGCUCUGUCUAUAUACACCGCAGAGACGGCAAGAAAGCUCUACAGGUCAGUGCAGAGGACUCUACACGAUGACCUCACUCAUGAUAACGGAAAACAUAUUUUUACAGUACGUUACUCUCACUCCAAAGAAUAUGUCGAUAUCCUGACAUAGUUAUUUUCAUUCAUUAGGUAGUUAUCACAUUAGAGGAAACCAAUGUAAUGCACGCUGCUUCCCUCAGCUUCUGUUACUUUUAUGUCUUCAUUUUUUAAAACUGAAAUGAUGAGCCAGAGGAAGGGAGCGUCUGUGAUGGGUGGCAAACGUAAUACUGAAAAAGAGAAACAUAUAAGCUACAGACUCAAGGCAGAAGAGUACCAAAGAAAAACAACCCUACUCUGAGUCUCUUCACCCCGCUCUGUAUUAUUUAUUUCUUCAUGAUAAAUAAGCACAACACAAAGUAAAGUGGGUUUUCACAUUAUGUCACAUUUAAACUGGGGACUGAAAGACAAAUUCACAAGAGAAGCCAUUUAAACUCAGGGACUACAGCACACACCUGAAAAGAUAAUAUUGUCUGUGGUUCCUUGAGGCCUUUUGAAUUUCAGUAGUACACAGAAGGAAUAUUUCAUGACAAUUUUAACAGUAAUGUUAAAAUUGUUAUACAGUGGAACCAUUGGAUAAUAAGGCUCUUGGUAUCCCAGAUUGCCUGAAUCUUUAUCUGGUUAAAGUGUUUAAUCUCUAAAUCCUGAUAUUUGGAGAUAUAAGCUCACCUGGAGUCAUGAGAAAAAAUGAAGCACUGACUUUAGUCUAGCUUGAAACAAAGUGGUUAAAUACAGUUUAAAAAUACUGUUAAUAUCGAUCUUUUCACUUCUUAUCUCAGUCUUUGUUAGUGUAAGUGUCUGGCCUUAAAAGAAUAUUUAAUGAGUAUUAGGGCUGGUUAUUGUCACUCAUUUCUAUAAUUGAUUGACUCAGAAGGUCCAGAUUCGAUCCCCGAUUCAAUUCGAUUCAGUUUCGACUCAGACAGUCAGAAAUAUUAUAGUUCUGAUCAUUCAUUAAUACAUGUCCACAUUUGUAUAUCUGUGUAUAAAAAGCUGACACUUCAUCAAAGGUGUGAGCAUCACAGCAGAUGCCUUUGUGUCAAAGUAACUGAGGAUAAAACACAGAAAAGCAUGAAGGAGAUUUUCCUGGUCUGGCUUUUUAAAGCAGACAACCGCCUUAAAAAUAUUCUGCAGUUGAACAAAAAC